UUUUGGAAAUCAUGCUUGUCUUUGAAAACUCUGCAACUGCUUCAGAGAGAAGAGCAUGAAGAAAAAAUAAUCAUUAUAAUCAUCUUCAGCUCCAUGACUGCAGUUUAGUAAGACGUGAAGAGCCUCAGGUUAUGAGACUUAGGUCAACUGUUUUGUUUAUCAAAGAAAGAUAAGGAAGUUUCCAACUCAUGAAAGGGUGUUACUGACAGUCGCAGUAAGACAUUUGGAAUCCAUGUGUAAACUUUGUGAUGAACAUGGCCCCGCACAGAGGACCUGAGACAUUUUGAGGAGGGCCUUCUAUGUUUCUUCUCCCAGCACAUGAGGAAAGUGAACCCCACUGGUGUAGCUCUCUGUCAGUAAAAAAGAGCACAAACUCCUGUUUCUGAACCAACAUGAAAGAAUGGAUAAUAUUGCCAGUCAUCUUGGGGAAGGCAUGGGAUUCAAAGGUAUGGGCUUUGCAUUGAGGCAGUCCUCUGUAUCUUGUUACCCCUGUGGAACUUUGGAAAAGCGGAGUAUAUGA
rnacentral:lncRNA from 1 species